UACGAAGGGGGCGAGCGUUGUUCGGAAUUACUGGGCGUAAAGGGCGCGUAGGCGGCCCCUUUUGUCGCGUGUGAAAGCCCCGGGCUCAACCUGGGAACGGCGCGCGAAACGGGGGGGCUUGAGUUCGGGAGAGGAGAGUGGAAUUCCCAGUGUAGAGGUGAAAUUCGUAGAUAUCUGGAGGAACACCGGUGGCGAAGGCGGCGUUCUGGACUGCAACUGACACUGAUAAACGAAAGCCAGGGUAGCAAACGGG
rnacentral:rRNA from 1 species